AAGUAAGUAGUAAGGGAAAGAAGAUUAUAAAUUAGAAAGGAAAAAUUAGUAUAAACUAAUAGUAAAUGGAUAAUUAGGGUGUUAUAUAGGUUAGACGUAAUAAAUACGAAAAGGAGGCAAAGGAAAGAUAAGGCUAAGUUUCUAUAGAGAAAUACAAUAAAAUAAAUCUUAGGAAUUGAAACAUCUUAGUACUAAGAAGAAAAAAGAUCAAGCGAGAAUUUCGUAAGUAGUGGCGAGCGAAAGCGAAUAAAGGUGAAAGUAAUUAUUUAUGAAUUCUAAAGAGGGUAACAGCCCCGUAAUAAAUAAUAAAUUAUGGAAUAUAAAAGUAGAAUUAUUUGAAGUAAGGUGUUCCAUACAUCUAAAAUAGAAUAAUAUAACAUACCAAAAGUGGAUUAGUACUGUGAAGGAAAAUUGAAAGAGAGGGUAAGGUCUUUAAAUGAAAUAGAUUUUAAAAUUUACUAUUUACAGGCAGAUGGGUUUCAUCGUACCUUUUGAAUAAUGGGUUCAUAAGAAAAAUAUUUGGCAAACUUAAGUUAAUAAAACGUAGGUAAAGUGAAAACGAAUUUUAAUAUAAGGGUAUUAGUCAGAUAGAGCCCGAAACUAAGUGAUCUAAUUAUGGGCAGUUUGAAACUUUCUUAAUUGGAAGUAGAGGAACGAACCGGUAAUUGUAGCAAAAAUUUCGGAUGACCUGUGGUUAGGGGUAAAAAGCCAAUCGAACUUAGAGAUAGCUGGUUUUCUGCGAAAACUAUUUAAGUAGUGCGUCAUUAAGUGUUAUUUAUAUAUGGUAAAGCACUGAAGGGGCUUAUCUAUAGGGUGUGUUUAAUCAAACUAUGAAAGUAUAAAAAGGAAAAUGAUAGACAGACAAUGGGCGAGAAGGUUCAUUGUCAAGAAGGAAACAACCUAGAUCAGAAGUUAAGGUUAUUAAGUAGGGCUAAGUGUUAAAGGGGGUUAUUUAAUAAAGACAGUGAGAAAGUAGGCUUGGAGCCAGCCAUCUUUAAAAGAUUACGUAAUAGUUCACUCAAUAAAUUAAUAAUUCUUAAAGAUUAUGGUGGCUUAAGUAAAUUGAUUACCGAAACUCUGAAUAUAAAAUAAUGGUAAAUUAUUUGAUGGUAUGGUAGCAGAACGUUUAGUAAUGGAUAAAAAUUAUGUUGCGAAAGCAUAUCUGAAGUGAUAAUGUGAAUAUGAGUAAAAAACAGUGUGAGAAUCAUUGCUCACGGCUUAAGGUUUCCAAUAAGAGGAUGUUCCGAAUUGGGUUAUACAGUUUUUAAGGUAAUUGUAUUAAUAAAAGAAAAAAUAGUAAGUAAAAGAAAUUAUUUUAUUAGACUGUACUAAAACUAACACAAGUGGGCUAUAAGUGAUGGUAUAAUUUAUCUUAAGGAAUUCGGCAAAAUAGCUUUGUAAGUUCGCAAGAAAAGGUGCUAAUUAUUUAAUUAGUAGAUAUGAUAAAUAAUUAGUCUCAGUAAAGAGGGGGUGUCGACUGUUUACCAAAAACAUAGCUUUCAGCAAAAAGCCUUUGGUUUGAAGUAUUGAAGGUGAGGCCUGCCCAAUGAUUGUAUCUAAAUCCAAAGAAUAAGAUAAGUUGUUUGGUUAAGGGCAAUUGAAUGGCCGCGGUAAAUCUGACCGUGAUAAUGUAGCGCAAUCAAUAGCCAAUUAAUUGUUGGCAAGUAUGAAUGGCGUCACGAAUGCCCUACUGUCUCAAGAUAAAAACCAAUGAAAUUGAAAUCGUAGUGAAGAUGCUAUGUUCAAAUUAUAAGACGAGAAGACCCCAUUGAGCUUUACUGGAGGCUUAUAUUGUUUUUUUAAAAUUAAUAUUUAGAUUAUGUGGGUAUAAUAAAAUUGAAUUUAUAUGAAAAACCACUUAUUAAUUAAAGAAAAAAACUAAUUAUAGAGGAGAGUAUAAGUUGGACAGUUUAGUUGGGGCGACUGCCUUCUAAAGAGUAACGAAGGUGUACAUAAGGUAAAUAAUAUAAUAGUAUAAAGUAAGAAGCCUGACAGUAAGAAGGAUUUUCAAGCUGACACAAAUAAAGAUAUUAAUUAAAUUUUGUGGGUUAUAAUGACCCGUUAGUUAAGAAUGGAAUUGCUAACGAUUAACGAAUAAAAGUUACCAUGGGGAUAACAGCGUAAUAUUGUUUGAGAGUUCUUAUCGAUGACAAUGUUUGCGACCUCGAUGUUGAAUUGUGAUAUCCUGGGGGUGUAGCCGUUCCCAAGGGUUGGACUGUUCGUCCAUUAAAAUCAUACAUGAUUUGAGUUCAGACCGGCGUAAGCCAGGUCGGUUUCUAUCUAUAAUUUGUUUAGGAAACAUAAGAUAUAACUAUAUUCUAGUACGAAAGGAUCGAAUGAUAGUUGUCCGCUGGUGUACCAAUUACAAAAAAUGUUGUUGGGUGGCUAUGAUAAAAUUUAAUAAAUUUUUAAUCUUUGAAUGCAUCUUAAAGGAGAAAAAAAAUAUUAUUCUGUGUUUCUGGGGAUAAAGGUUGUUUUAGAAUAAAACGUUGAUAGGGUUUAGAUGGUAAGUUUAAAAUUACUAAAAAGAGUCUUUAUACUAAUUUUUCAAAUUUAUUGG
rnacentral:rRNA from 1 species